UACGUAGGGGGGCUAGCGUUGUCCGGAUUUAUUGGGCGUAAAGAGCGUGUAGGCGGCCAGGUAGGUCUGCUGUGAAAACUCGAGGCUCAACCUCGAGACGUCGGCGGAAACCAUCUGACUAGAGUCCGGAAGAGGAGAGUGGAAUUCCUGGUGUAGCGGUGAAAUGCGCAGAUAUCAGGAAGAACACCCGUGGCGAAGGCGGCUCUCUGGGACGGUACUGACGCUGAGACGCGAAAGCGUGGGGAGCGAACAGG
rnacentral:rRNA from 1 species